rnacentral:rRNA from 1 species
GACGAACGCUGGCGGCGUGCUUAACACAUGCAAGUCGAGCGGUAAGGCCCUUUCGGGGGUACACGAGCGGCGAACGGGUGAGUAACACGUGGGUGACCUGCCCUCAGCUCUGGGAUAAGCCUGGGAAACCGGGUCUAAUACUGGAUAUGACUCCAUGACGCAUGUUGUGGGGUGGAAAGCCUUGUGCGGCUGAGGAUGGGCCCGCGGCCUAUCAGCUUGUUGGUGGGGUGANGGCCUACCAAGGCGACGACGGGUAGCCGGCCUGAGAGGGCGACCGGCCACACUGGGGCUGAGACACGGGCCCAGACUCCUACGGGAGGCAGCAGUGGGGAAUCUUGCGCAAUGGGCGAAAGCCUGACGCAGCGACGCCGCGUGAGGGAUGACGGCCU